CAACAGGGAUUGCCUCAGUAACGGCGAGUGAAGCGGCAACAGCUCAAUUUGAAAUCUGGCCUCACGGUCCGAGUUGUAAUUUGUAGAGGAUGCUUUUGGCGAGGUGCUUUCCGAGUUCCCUGGAACGGGACGCCAUAGAGGGUGAGAGCCCCGUACGGUAAGACCACCGAGCCUCUGUAAAGCUCCUUCGACGAGUCGAGUAGUUUGGGAAUGCUGCUCUAAAUGGGAGGUGUACGUCUUCUAAAGCUAAAUACCGGCCAGAGACCGAUAGCGCACAAGUAGAGUGAUCGAAAGAUGAAAAGCACUUUGAAAAGAGGGUUAAAAAGUACGUGAAAUUGUUGAAAGGGAAGCAUUCAUGACCAGACUUGGGCUUGGUUGAACAUCCGGCGUUCUCGCCGGUGCACUCUGCCAGUCCAGGCCAGCAUCAGUUUGCCCCGGGGGACAAAGGCGGUGGGAAUGUGGCUCUCUUCGGGGAGUGUUAUAGCCCGCCGUGUAAUGCCCUGGGGUGGACUGAGGAACGCGCUUCGGCACGGAUGCUGGCGUAAUGGUCAUCAAUGACCCGUCUUGAAACACGGACCAAGGAGUCGUCUUCGUAUGCGAGUGUUCGGGUGUCAAACCCCUACGCGUAAUGAAAGUGAACGUAGGUGAGAGCUUCGGCGCAUCACCGACCGAUCCUGAUGUUCUCGGAUGGAUUUGAGUAAGAGCAUACGGGGCCGGACCCGAAAGAAGGUGAACUAUGCCUGUAUAGGGUGAAGCCAGAGGAAACUCUGGUGGAGGCUCGCAGCGGUUCUGACGUGCAAAUCGAUCGUCAAAUAUGGGCAUGGGGGGCGAAAGACUAAUCGAACCUUCUAGUAGCUGGUU
rnacentral:rRNA from 1 species